rnacentral:rRNA from 1 species
CCUACGGGGGACUGCAGUGGGGAAUAUUGCACAAUGGGGGAAACCCUGAUGCAGCGACGCCGCGUGAGUGAAGAAGUAUUUCGGUACGUAAAGCUCUAUCAGCAGGGAAGAAACUGACGGUACCUGACUAAGAUGCCCCGGCUAACUACGUGCCAGCAGCCGCGGUAAUACGUAGGGGGCAAGCGUUAUCCGGAUUUACUGGGUGUAAAGGGAGCGUAGACGGCAGCGCAAGUCUGGAGUGAAAUCCCAUGGCUUAACCAUGGAACUGCUUUGGAAACUGUGCAGCUAGAGUGCAGGAGAGGUAAGCGGAAUUCCUAGUGUAGCGGUGAAAUGCGUAGAUAUUAGGAGGAACACCAGUGGCGAAGGCGGCUUACUGGACUGUAACUGACGUUGAGGCUCGAAAGCGUGGGGAGCAAACAGGAUUAGAUACCCUAGUAGUC